rnacentral:rRNA from 1 species
UACGAGGGGGGCAAGCGUUGUUCGGAAUUAUUGGGCGUAAAGGGCGCGUAGGCGGCGCCACAAGUCACUUGUGCAAACUCUGGGCUCAACUCAGAGCCUGCAAGCGAAACUGUGGUGCUGGAGUAUGGGAGAGGUGCGUGGAAUUCCCGGUGGAGCGGGGUAAUGAGUAGAGAUCGGGAGGAACACCUGUGGCGAAAGCGGCGCACUGGACCAUAACUGACGCUGAGGCGCGAAAGCUAGGGGAGCAAACAGG